CCCUUAGACACUCUAGGCGGCACGCGCGCUACAAUGGGUGGAAGAACGUGUUACCGCCUCCGAAAGGAGGGGUGAAUCACGAAUUCUUGCCCGUGAAUGGGAUAGUUUGUUGCAAUUUUCGGACUUGAACUAGGAAUCCCUUGUAAACAUGCUCAAGAAUAGCGUGUUGAAUACGUCCCUGCCGUUUGUACACACCGCCCGUCGUUUCUUCCGACUGAUACUCAUUGUGAGUUGCAAGGACCCUUUAUUGGGAAAUUGCUGCAAAUGCUUUGUAUUGGAGGAAGAAAAAGUCGUAACA
rnacentral:rRNA from 1 species